rnacentral:rRNA from 1 species
UACGUAGGGUGCGAGCGUUGUCCGGAAUUAUUGGGCGUAAAGGGCUCGUAGGCGGUUUGUCGCGUCGGGCGUGAAAACCAGGUGCUUAACACCUGGCUUGCUUUCGAUACGGGCAGACUAGAGGCAUGCAGGGGAGAACGGAAUUCCUGGUGUAGCGGUGAAAUGCGCAGAUAUCAGGAGGAACACCGGUGGCGAAGGCGGUUCUCUGGGCAUGUCCUGACGCUGAGGAGCGAAAGUGUGGGGAGCGAACAGG